GGAAAAGUUUUGCUCUAAGGGAAAAGGCCCCACCCAAGAGGAGGUCUCUGCUCUCCAGCAGAACAUCUCAGUGCCCCCCUGCAUUGGCUGGAGACAGUUUUUAGUCUCAGACCCCUGGGCAGUGCUGAGGGGGAAAAAAAAUCCCAAAACAAUUAAGGAAAGAAAAAUUAAGCAGAGAGCAAUUUGAGAAAACCUGUCAGGCUGUUCCUCCCUGUGCCCCUGGAGCUGCGCCAAGGGGUGGCAGGAGGGUGGUGGCAGCAGUGACAGUGACAAGCUGGGCAGCUGCAGAGAGAGGAGCAGCAGGAUCACCCUGAGAGCGCCAUGAGGGGUUUCCAGAGGGGCUCCCAGCUCCUGGCAGCUGCACUCCGGAUCAGCCGGGUCCCCCGGGCACAGCUCCGCUCCCACCCCCCUGAGCACAUACUCUCCGGUGGUGAACAAGCCAUCGCCCUCACCCUGAUGUUCUCAUCCUUCCUGGUGCCCACAGCCUGGGUCCUGAGCAACAUCUACAACUACAGGAGCAGGCCCGAGUGAGGAGUGGCAGGAGCAGCCUGCUCCCUGCUGAGAGCAUCCCAAGGGAAGGGCCCUCGGGCAGAGCCUCACCAUGGAACCCCCCGAGCCUGCUCAUUAAAAUCCAUUUUGCAUUCAA